AUUCUGCCCAAGCGGGGAAGGAUGAGAAGCUUCGACCAAGGUUCGACUUGAGCGCCAGCGAGAGAGCGUUGCCGCAGGCAACGACCCGAAG
rnacentral:sRNA from 2 species